rnacentral:rRNA from 1 species
GACGAACGCUGGCGGCGUGGAUUAGGCAUGCAAGUCGAACGGUAUCAUCCUUUCGGGGGUGAGAGAGUGGCGAACUGGUGAGUAACACGUAGGUUAUCUACCCUCAAGACGGGGACAACCCAGGGAAACUUGGGCUAAUACCGGAUGUGAGCAACUUUUAGUUGUUUGAAAGGUGGCGUGAGCUGUCGCUUGGGGAUGAGCCUGCGUCCUAUUAGUUAGUUGGUGAGGUAACGGCUCACCUAGGCAAUGAUAGGUAGGCGGCCUUAACGGGUGGUCGCCCACACUGGGAUUGAGAUACGGCCCAGACUCCUACGGGAGGCAGCAGUCGAGAAUAGUCUACAAUGGUCGGAAGACUGAUAGUGCGACGCCGCGUGAACGAUGAAUCCCUUCGGGGUGUAAAGUUCUUUUAUAUGUGAGCAGUGCUUCUUAUAUUAACAGUAUGGGGAGAGAGAUAUUAGCAUAUGAAUAAGCAACGGCUAACUCCGUGCCAGCAGCCGCGGUAAA